rnacentral:rRNA from 1 species
UCGACGGAGCUGUUUUCUCUGAAGUUUUCGGAUGGAAGAGAGUUCAGCUUAGUGGCGAACGGGUGAGUAACACGUGAGCAACCUGCCUUUCAGUGGGGGACAACAUUUGGAAACGAAUGCUAAUACCGCAUAAGACCACAGUGUCGCAUGGCACAGGGGUCAAAGGAUUUAUCCGCUGAAAGAUGGGCUCGCGUCCGAUUAGCUAGAUGGUGAGGUAACGGCCCACCAUGGCGACGAUCGGUAGCCGGACUGAGAGGUUGAACGGCCACAUUGGGACUGAGACACGGCCCAGACUCCUACGGGAGGCAGCAGUGGGGAAUAUUGCACAAUGGGGGAAACCCUGAUGCAGCGACGCCGCGUGGAGGAAGAAGGUCUUCGGAUUGUAAACUCCUGUCCCAGGGGACGAUAAUGACGGUACCCUGGGAGGAAGCACCGGCUAACUACGUGCCAGCAGCCGCGGUAAAACGUAGGGUGCAAGCGUUGUCCGGAAUUACUGGGUGUAAAGGGAGCGCAGGCGGAUUGACAAGUUGGGAGUGAAAUCUAUGGGCUCAACCCAUAAAUUGCUUUCAAAACUGUCAGUCUUGAGUGGUGUAGAGGUAGGCGGAAUUCCCGGUGUAGCGGUGG